rnacentral:rRNA from 1 species
UACGGGGGGAGCAAGCGUUGUUCGGAUUUACUGGGCGUAAAGGGCGCGUAGGCGGCCUCCGCAAGUCAGUUGUGAAAUCUCCGAGCUUAACUCGGAAAGGUCAACUGAUACUGCGGGGCUAGAGUGCGGAAGGGGCAACUGGAAUUCUUGGUGUAGUGGUGAAAUGCGUAGAGAUCAGGCGGAACACCCGUGGCGAAGGCGGCCAGCUGGGCCGUCCCUGACGCUGAGGCGCGAAGGCGUGGGGAGCGAACGGG